GUGCUCGCUUCGGCAGCACAUAUACUAAAAUUGGAACGAUACAGAGAAGAUUAGCAUGGCCCCUGCGCAAAGAUUAUAACCAACUAUCUUGGGCUCUCCCAAUCUGUU